rnacentral:rRNA from 1 species
UGGGGAAUUUUGCACAAUGGGGGAAACCCUGAUGCAGCGACGCCGCGUGAUUUAGAAGGCCUUCGGGUUGUAAAAAUCUUUUCUAUGGGAAGAAAAUGACAGUACCAUAGGAAUAAGGACCGGCUAAUUACGUGCCAGCAGCCGCGGUAAUACGUAAGGUCCGAGCGUUGUCCGGAAUCAUUGGGCGUAAAGGGUACGUAGGCGGGUAAGCAAGUUAGAAGUGAAAUCCUAUAGCUCAACUAUAGUAAGCUUUUAAAACUGCUCAUCUUGAGGUAUGGAAGGGAAAGUGGAAUUCCUAGUGUAGCGGUGAAAUGCGCAGAUAUCAGGAGGAAUACCGGUGGCGAAGGCGACUUUCUGGCCAUAACCUGACGCUGAGGUACGAAAGCGUGGGUAGCAAACAGG